CCUACGGGGGGCAGCAGUGAGGAAUAUUGGUCAAUGGGUGCAAGCCUGAACCAGCCAUCCCGCGUGAAGGACGACUGCCCUAUGGGUUGUAAACUUCUUUUGUAUAGGGAUAAACCUACCCUCGUGAGGGUAGCUGAAGGUACUAUACGAAUAAGCACCGGCUAACUCCGUGCCAGCAGCCGCGGUAAUACGGAGGGUGCAAGCGUUAUCCGGAUUUAUUGGGUUUAAAGGGUCCGUAGGCGGACUUAUAAGUCAGUGGUGAAAGCCUGUCGCUUAACGAUAGAACUGCCAUUGAUACUGUAAGUCUUGAGUAUAUUUGAGGUAGCUGGAAUAAGUAGUGUAGCGGUGAAAUGCAUAGAUAUUACUUAGAACACCAAUUGCGAAGGCAGGUUACCAAGAUAUAACUGACGCUGAGGGACGAAAGCGUGGGGAGCGAACAG
rnacentral:rRNA from 1 species